UGAGACCACCGCAUUUUUCUAAAACCAGCAAAUUUAAAAAAAAAAAAAAGAGAGAGAAGAAGAAGAAGAAGCUGGACUAGGGUUAGGUUUCCAAAAGCCAAAACCCUGGAAAUCUUUCUAUUUUCAUCGAAUUUCUGCAGAGAUUCUCACCUGCUCUUGCCAUUUCAGCUCUUGGAUUCCUCUUCCAGCUGUUUCACUCCUUGGAUUAGGUUUCAGGUGCCAGAGCCUUGAAAUUCGCUGGCUUGAUACUAAUUUUCGAAAGGAAGGUUCUAGGGCCGAAGAAAAUGGUGUUUUUUAUGCUAUUUUGGGGCGAGGAGCGUAGAAGAUGUGUGUUUUGGAGAAGGUGAUGGCGAUUUGAAGGGAAUUCAAGAGAUCGAAGAGUUUCAAGAGCCAGUUCAACAUGUACCAUGCCAAGAAGUUUUCAACUGUGGCCUUAGUGCCUCAUAAGGCCCAGAGUGCUGAGCAACUUGCAAAUGUUGGAGUUUUGGGGGGAUCUACAAUAAACAACCCACCUGUGUCUGGGGGAAGCGGAAAGCAACGGUUACGGUGGACUUCGGAUCUCCAUGACCGCUUUGUUGACGCCAUAACACAACUUGGAGGACCAGAGAGGGCAACACCAAAAGGUGUUCUAAGAGUGAUGGGUGUACCAGGACUUACUAUUUAUCAUGUGAAAAGCCAUUUACAGAAAUAUCGGCUGGCAAAGUACCUUCCUGAAUCUCCAGCUGAUGGCUCCAAAGAGGAAAAGAAAGAUUCCAGUGAUUCCCUCUCUAGCAUGGAUUCUACGCCAGGAUCACAAAUUAAUGAAGCACUGAGGAUGCAGAUGGAGGUGCAGAAGCGGCUCCAUGAUCAGCUUGAGGUACAAAGACAGUUGCAGCUGAGAAUUGAAGCCCAAAGUAAGUACCUGCAGAAGAUCAUUGAGGAGCAGCAGAAGCUAGGCGGGACUCUCAAGGCGGACGAUGAAAAACACAAGCCGCCCUCCCAACCACCUACAGGUUCUCCGCUCAAGAAACAGAGAGUGGAUGACUGUGGGUUCCCAGGUCCGCAUCCGGGGGACGACAAGUGUGAUUUCAUAGGCAGGUGGGAUCGGAAUAUCUAUGGGAGGGAUGUUGUGGGGUUUGGCCUUGACAUGGGGGUGGAGUUCAAAGAGGUGGGAGAUGGCAGGCAGAAGCAAGCGGGCCGACUAUUGGCCAGGCCCACUUGUGGUUCUGGGGGGGCUCCGUCUUAGCUGCUGGGAGACCCAUGCCUUUUGCUAAUGGGGUUGAGACCUGGCAGUGUUUGGUGACGUGCCGGAUCGCAAUGUAUCAUUUACACCGUAAUCCAUUUCGUGCAGGUGAUCGCCUUCCUUUGUAGCGUGGGGUGGCCCUUUCCUCAGUAGUCUAACCAUUUUAGUUUGGGAUGUGGUGGUCACUGAUCAAGUUAGUAGUCAAUAUGGUGGGACCCACUAGAUAGGGCUUAGUUUGGGAUGUGGUGGUCACUUGUCAAAUUAAUUGUCAAAAUGGUGGGACCCACUCUAGAUAGGUUAUAGCCCUAAAACCAUCUUGAUUGGACGUUCCUAGCCUCUGAUUAGCGGACAUUUGUUCAUUGAAUCUGUUCAUUCAACCGUCCGUUAGAUGUCCACCAAUCGGGGAGUAAGGAACCCAAUUAGUUUAGAUUCCAUAGCAUCUAUUAUAAAUGCUGUGCAACGGUGACUGUAGCUACACACGACUGUGUUAUGUAAUGAAGUGGAAGCUGUUUUAAGGCCA